UGGGGAAAUGGAAGAGGACUCCAGCCAACAGCCCACAAAGAACAAAUUCCUGCUGAGAACCAUGUGUGAACUUGGAAGCCAUUACCUCCCAGUUGAGCUUUCUGAUGAGAGCAUAGCCCUGGCCAACAGCUCCACUGCGGCCUGAGGAGGGCCCUGGAGCCAGAGGCACCCACACAGCUGUGUCCAGAUCCCCACCCGCAGAGGCAGCAAGUCCCAAAUGAGGCCUGGAGACAAAUACUUACAGAAAACAUGACACCGAGAAGAGGAACUUUUAAAAAACGUAUCAAGGACUCAAAUCAAUGUGCGCAAAAAACAAAACUUGGAGAAAAAGCAACAUUCCUGAUAUCUUUUGCACGUGAGGCAAGUGCCCUGUGACUCUUUUGUAAGGAAUAAUCCCUGCUUCAAUGGGGGGAAGUCACUCCCCACUGUACUGUUGGAUUCUGAAUGUCCUUGGUUCAUGCAUGAACACAUUGUCAUUGUUCGAGUUCCUAGGCAUGGGGCUCCUGGGUUGGGGAUUUACAUUUAUUCGGCUUAUAGAUGUGGCUGAAAGGUUUUCCCAGUGGCCAUGCCAGUGAUGCCACACUGCCAGUCCCCGCUGUUCCACAUUCAUCUUGCCAGCUGGGGUUUGCUGCUGGACAUUUCACGGGGCCACAUCGAUGGGUGGGUGGUGGUUCUGGGGCCAUAUCAGUGGAUGGGUGGUCACCGCUGAGUUUCAUUUUGUUUUGUUCUG
rnacentral:lncRNA from 1 species